GUGGGGGCCACGGAACAGAAGACGACCACCACCUAAGGGCUUAACAAAAGAAUCACCGUUAACAAACCUCCAGCUGCUUUUACUGAAACACAUUGCCAUGCAGGGCCAGCAGGCAAAUGUUUGCGAUGUCUUUCACAGUGAUUGGUCCAGGGGCUGUCUUGGGUUUUGCAGGUUGACGCUCAACCACUGAGCCACACUGGUCAGUCGUCAUUCUCAUUUUUAUAGCCCCAGUAUGAAGACUCACCUCUCUGGAGCAGCUCUAUUCAACGCAGCUUUCUGCGAUGAUGGACAUCUGUGCGCUACGGUUUAUUUGCCACUGGCUGCCUGUGGCUAUUGAGCGCUUGGGAUGUGGCCAGUGGGCUGAGGAACUGAGUUUUAAAUUUUAUCUCAUUUUAAUUAUUUGAAGUUUAAAUAGGCACCGUGGUAAGUGGCAACCACAUUGGACGGCACCGCUGGUCUGGAGUCUCACGUUCAGGUGACAGGCAAGCAGGUGACUGUGCAGCUCAGCCACGCCAACCCACGUGUGGCUCCAGGGAAACGUGGCUGGAAGCGUCACGGCUCACAGCAGGGGGAGUGAUCUGCGGGGAGCCUGGAAGUUGAAGUUCUGCCUGCCACGCUUGCUAAUUCCAGCUCUUUUGCAUGUGGCACAGUUGGUGAUGGUCAGUGGGAAGCCCACAUCUUAGAAAAACUCCUCACAAAGUUACCCAUUGGGCCCAAGUCCUGGGAAGGAGCUAGAACAAAAUCUGUUGGAGCUGAAAGGGGUUUCGGUGACCACACACGGCGAUGGGGUUCACAAUGGUACUGUCCUCUGAAAGGCACUGUGGCAUUAGCUACCAGAGUUACAGGUACAUUUCCCCUCACCCAGCAAUCCCACAUCUCGGGAUUCACCCCACAGAGAAACCUGCAAACUCACGCUAACACUAGUGCAAACUAAUACAGGGGACACUGCCGUGGGGAGGGGAGUGUGGGAAAUCUGUACCACCUGCUGUUUUUGUACUGUUUUAAAAAUUAAGUCUAUUAAUUAAACAAAGAAAUCCCACAAACUAAGUUUUGAAAAGAAAGAGGCUUUGAAACCAGCCCAUGUUACAGGCAGUAACCUGGGAUGAGAGGUGUGUCUUGUAGAGGCCACACAGCUCACAUGGGUCAGACCCCGGCAUAGCAGGCAGCCUCCGUGCCGUGGCCCCGUCCUCCGCAUGGAAAACCCUCCUCUUCCAUCUCCCACUUGGGAAAGGUACUUUGUACCACAUGAGACGUAGAUCAUUUAUCUGAAUGGAUUUUGCACAAUGAAUUUUGUAUUUUUUUGAGACAAAAAUAGCAAGUUCUUAAAAUAAAAUUGAAAUGUUGAAACAUC